rnacentral:lncRNA from 1 species
UUGGUUACAAAUCAACACAUGUUAAAGGAUGUUUGGUAUUAGGGGAUGUUUGGGAAAGCACCUCCAGUGCUCGCUGCUUCAAAGAAAUCAGCGGAGAACAAUCAGGUUUGCUACCAUUGGCCAAUUUUGUAGCUCUUAUUCUCUCUACUCAAUCUCCGUAUCUGUUGGUGAGCUUGAUUAGGGUUUGAUAGCCAUAUGCAAAUCUGAUUUCAUUUGAUUAUUAAAGUUUCAAAUUUGGGUUUUUUUUUCCUGGGUUUGUGUUGAAGCUGUAUUUGGUUUCAAAUAUGAGGAAAUCCAAAAUCGAAAUUAAACGAAGGGCAUUAGGAAUCCUCUUUUCUUUGGUCAAGAGGAUGAUUUCAGAUGAUGACCAGAUAGAUAAGAAGACCUGAUGAUCUUUAAAAUGCCAUGGUUGUUCUUGCACAAUGUUGACAAAAACAUAACAGAGGAGAUGAUGGUGGCGUGAUAGCUAACGAAGAAAAUGCCCUAAUCUUUUCACCCCUAUUCCAUUACUUGUUUGUGAUUUCCUUGGGCUAACUGGAAAUGCACAAUCAUUGGAUUUAAGUGUUUUUUACUUUUAUGUUUGGUUUUGAGGUUUGAUUACUGUUUGAUUUCAUGUUUGAAUAUAAUUUUAAGGUUAGAUUUCAGAUUUGAAUAUGAGUUUGAGGUGUGGUCGUUGAAUCGGUUCUUUUAGCAGGAAGGAGGAGGAGGUGAUCGUUAGGAGCACGGUUCUUCUUCUUCUUCUUCGAAUAUAAUUUCCCGAUCCACCCUGUCGCUGCUUCAUUUUCCCCUCGAUUGGUGGUUGCCGACGACGAGAGAAGGACCACGAAGGGUCACCGGAAGUUGCAGGUCGCCGGAUUAUCCCUGAUGCCAAACAUCCCCUAACAUGUGUCUAUCUGUAACCAAACACCCCCUAAUGCCAUAGAAGGGUAAAAUCGGAAAAGAGGGCAAUAAAACACCGAUUCAAUAUGUAAAACUCCAAUAAGGUUUUAAUGUUUAUUUUUUGGUUGUAUGCCGUAUCAGAAAACUAAAUAUUAUCAACAGAUGUGGUGAAAAUUCAUGCAAAGGCACAACAUUAUUCUAAUUCAAAUAGGACAGAGUUUCCCACUAUACACAUUUACUCAUUUAGACAUGAUUAUAUCAUUUGUAAUUAAUAUAUUUUGACAAUAGAAAUAACCAUAAACUACCUUUUUAUCUCUCGACUUUUUCUACUGUUUUCCGUCUUUUUCUAUGCCAGGCCAAAAGUAUAGUGUUUAAACAAUGAAAAAUAAUUAAUAUAUACAACAGCUUAACAAAUCAUCUGAGUAUGCCAAUCUUGGGAGACAAUUAAUUAUGAUAGUAAAAAGUCA